AACUCUACAGGUCGAACAAUUAGAUAACGAGAAGGUGCAUUUUCUUGACAUGUGUAUUACAAAGAAAACUGAUUUUUUCUCUAUCUCCAUCUACAGAAAACAAGUGCAAGAGAUGAGAAGGGCUAGGAAGGAGGUUGUUGGCAUCAGUGGUUCUCAGCUACCGAGCGAAUCUUCCCAAAUAGCCUUUUUGUCUAAUUCUCCUGCUGAUACCCUUUGUGUUGGCAAAAGAGCCAGAUCUGUGAUGUCUACCCCCCUUGUCAAGGAGGUAACAUAACGCCUGUUAAAAGGACCUAGGAUUUUCAACUCGGAUCAUAUUCGGAAGCUUUGGCUUCUUUUUGGCUGGC
rnacentral:lncRNA from 1 species